GCUUGGGUGGCUCAGUUGGUUAGAGCGUAGGUCUCAUAUUUGCAUAUGAGUCGCAGUCACGUGAUACAAUCCUAAGGCCGAGAGUUCAAGUCUCUCCCCGAGCA